rnacentral:rRNA from 1 species
AUACGGGGGGAGCAAGCGUUGUUCGGAAUCACUGGGCGUAAAGGGUGCGCAGGCGGGAGGAUAGGUCGGAUGUGAAAACCUCGGGCUCAACCCGGGGCCUGCAUCCGAAACCAUUCUUCUUGAGUAUCGGAGAGGAAAGCGGAACUCCAGGUGUAGCGGUGAAAUGCGUAGAUAUCUGGGGGAACACCGGUGGCGAAGGCGGCUUUCUGGACGAAUACUGACGCUCAGGCACGAAGGCUAGGGGAGCAAACAGGAUUAGAUACCCUGGUAGUCCUAGCGGUAAACGAUGGGCACUAGGUAUCGGGGGUAUCGACCCCCCCGGUGCCGAAGCUAACGCAUUAAGUGCCCCGCCUGGGGAGUACGGCCGCAAGGCUGAA